UACAGAGGGUGCGAGCGUUACUCGGAAUUACUGGGCGUAAAGCGUGCGUAGGUGGUUUGUUAAGUCUGAUGUGAAAGCCCUGGGCUCAACCUGGGAAUUGCAUUGGAUACUGGCAGGCUAGAGUGCGGUAGAGGAUGGCGGAAUUCCCGGUGUAGCAGUGAAAUGCGUAGAGAUCGGGAGGAACAUCUGUGGCGAAGGCGGCCAUCUGGACCAGCACUGACACUGAGGCACGAAAGCGUGGGGAGCAAACAGG
rnacentral:rRNA from 1 species